rnacentral:rRNA from 1 species
AGUGAACGCUGGCGGUAGGCCUAACACAUGCAAGUCGAACGGCAGCACAGUAAGAGCUUGCUCUUACGGGAGGCGAGUGGCGGACGGGUGAGGAAUACAUCGGAAUCUACUUUUUCGUCGGGGAGAACGUAGGGAAACGUACGCUAUUACAGCAUACGACCUACGGGUGAAAGCAGGGGAUCUUCGGACCUUGCGCGAUUGAAUGAGCCGAUGUCGGAUUUGCUAGCUGGGGGGGUAAAGGCCCACCAAGGCGACGAUCCGUAGCUGGUCGGAGAGGAUGAGCAGCCACACUGGAACUGAGACACGAUCCGGACCCCAAUGGGAGGCAGGGGUGGGGAAUAUUGGACUAUGAGCGCAAGCCUGAUCCAGCCAUACCGCGUGGGUGGAGAAGGCCUUGGGGUUCUAGAGCCCUUUUGUUGGGAAAGAAAAGCAGAAGGUAAAUAGCCCGCUGUUCUAACGGUACCAAAAGAAUAAGCACCGGCUAACUUCGUG